UACGUAGGCAGCGAGCGUUGUUCGGAGUUACUGGGCGUAAAGGGUGUGUAGGCGGUUCUUUUAAGUUUGGUGUGAAAUCUCCCGGCUCAACCGGGAGGGUGCGCCGAAUACUGAGGGACUUGGAGUAUGGGAUGGGAAAGUGGAAUCCUGGUGUAGCGGUGAAAUGCGUAGAUAUCAGGAGGAACACCUGUGGUGUAGACGGCUUUCUGGACCAUAACUGACGCUGAGACACGAAAGCGUGGGGAGCAAACAGG
rnacentral:rRNA from 1 species